rnacentral:tRNA from 1 species
GACGUGGCGCAGUUUGGUAGCGCGCCUGCUUUGGGAGCAGGAUGUCGCAGGUUCGAAUCCUGUCAUCC